AGCAGCCCUCUGAGGGGUUCCCUUCUCCAUGGAGAGCAGGAAGGUGACUCUGGGACCCUGGAAGACUGGGAGAGAGGUGAGAUGUACUAGAUAUCCUAUAUUUAUCAUCACAGGAUGAACCCAUUCCCUUCACCUGCCCUGGUGACUGCCUCAUUGGUACAGGGCCAAGGCAGCAGCCAUCCUCGGGAAGUGACCUGCCUGGCCUGGCUGCCUCCCUGUGGGGGACUGGGCAGGACUGCAUCAAGUGCUGAUGUGUGAGCAGCACACAAAGAAAACUGAAGCAGAUGAUGGAUGUCCAUGUUCCAGUGCCCAGUGAAGAUCGGUUGGUUGGCUUUUGUGACAUUUGAGGAUGUGGCUGUGGAUUUCACGCAGAAGGAAUGGAAGCUGCUGAGCCCUGCGCAGAGGACCCUGUACAGACACGUGAUGCUGGAGAACUUCAGCCACCUGGUCUCACUCGCAGGAAUUCCCUGUUCUAAACCAGACCUCAUCACUUGGCUGGAACAAGGUGAAGAGCCCUGGAGGGAAGAGAAAAGACAUCGGCCAGGCCCUUGUCCAGCAGAAGCAAAGCCAGAAAUCCAUCUGUUUCCCGUCAGCAACCCACUGGCCUUCUGCAGUCAGCACACCCUCAUCUGGCACACAAUUCAUGACCAUUCUUCUCAGGUGUCUCCAGGCAUACAUGCAACAAAUUACCCACAGGGAAAGAGUCCUGGCCUGGAGCACCAGGAACGAGAGCAGGAAGAACUCUCUCAUCAGAGUGACCAGAGUGAUAGGGCAGAAGGUCAAGAGACAGAAGAAAACUCCCAAACCUUGUUGAGGAAGAGGAGUCAGACCUUGUGGGUAUCUGCCAGCUCAAACCCCACUAACACAGUAAGUCUGGAUCAAAGGAACACAGUGGUGGAAAUUGAUAGCAACCAAGCCCAGAGGGGAAAUCCUAAAGAAACAGGCAAACUGUUAAAAGAAAGAGAAAAUUUGGGAUGGGAAGUAUUCAGAUGUGCAGAGUGUGGGCAAGGCUUUAGCCAGAAGACAAAGCUACUUGAACAAAGGAAAGCGCAUUAUGGACAGAAUCUUUUAACAUUCAUGGAGUGUGGACAGGACUUUAUUGAUAAGUCAGGACUAUUCUUGCACCAGAAGAUGCACCCAGGAGAGAGUCCGUAUAUGUGCAGGGAGGGUGGGCCAGACUUCAGUGAUAAGCCAAACCUCGUAACAUACAAGAAGACACACUCAGGGGAGAAGCCCUUUAUAUGCAAGGAGUGUGGGCAAGGAUUUGUCCAAAAAUCAUCUCUGGUUUCUCACCAGUGGAAACACACAGGGGAGAAGCCCUUUGUGUGCAAGGAGUGUGGGCAAGGAUUUCUCCAAAAAUCAUCUCUGGUUUCUCACCAGUGGAAACACACAGGGGAGAAGCCUUUCAUGUGCAAGGAGUGUGGAAAAGGCUUUGUCAGAAAAUCAUACCUUAUAAUCCAUCAGAGGACACACUCAGGGGAGAAGCCAUUUGUGUGCAAGAAGUGUGAGCACGGUUUUACCACAAAAUCAUCUCUGGUUUUGCACCAAUGGACACACACAGGGGAGAAGCCUUUUGUGUGCAAGGAGUGUGGACAAGGCUAUACCCAAAAACCAAAGCUGAUCUCCCACCAGCGGAAACACUCAGGCCAGAAGCCUUUUGUGUGCAAGGAGUGUGGAGAGGGCUUUAUCCAAAAAUCACACCUGAUCUCCCACCAGUGGAAACACUCAGGCCAGAAGCCUUUUAUGUGCAAGGAGUGUGGACAAGGCUUUAUCCAAAAAUCUUACCUGGUCUCCCACCAGUGGAAACACUCAGGCCAGAAGCCUUUUGUGUGCAAGGAGUGUGGACAAGGCUUUAUCAAAAAUUCACAGUUGAUCUACCACCAGUGGAAACACUCAGGCCAGAAGCCUUUUGUGUGUAAGGAUUGUGGACAGGGCUUGAUGCACAAAUCAUCUCUGGUUUCCCACCAGUGGAAACACUCAGGCCAGAAGCCUUUUGUGUGCAAGGAGUGUGGACAAGGCUUUAUCCAAAAAUCAAACCUGACCACCCACCAGUGGAAACACUCAGGCCAGAAGCCUUUUGUGUGUAAGGAGUGUGGACAAAGCUUUGUCAAAAAAUCAUACCUGAUCUGCCACCAGAGGAAACACUCAGGCCAGAAGCCUUUUGUGUGCAAGGAGUGCGGACAAGGCUUUAUCCAAAAAUCCUACCUGAUCUCCCACCAGUGGAAACACUCAGGCCAGAAGCCUUUUGUGUGCAAGGAGUGUGGACAAGGCUUUAUCCAAAAAUCAAAGCUGAUCUCCCACCAGUGGAAACACUCAGGCCAGAAGCCUUUUGUGUGCAAGGAGUGUGGACAAGGCUUUAUCGAAAAAUCUUACCUGAUCUCCCACCAGUGGAAACACUCAGGCCAGAAGCCUUUUGUCUGCAAGGAGUGUGGAAAAGGCUUUACCCAAAAGUCAUCCAUGAUCUACCACCAGUUGAAACACUCAGGGUAGGAGCAUAUUGUUUGAGUGAUGUAGGUAAAAGUUUUAGCUUUAAAUCAAAUCUUCUGAGACUUAAGAAAGUACACUCAAGGGGUAGCCUAUUGUGUAUAUAGAGUGUAUUUAAACUUUAAUCCAAAAAUUAUCCCUAGUGUCCCACCUGUGGAAACACUUGGGUGAGAAUCUAUAUGCUUGUAGUGAGUGGGGACAAUGUUCUCUCUGGCAGUCAGGCCUGUAAAACACCAGAACUCAUGCUUAAGGAAGAAGUCUUUUGUAUGCAAGGACUGUUUUUGAGUCUAUACCAAUGAGUCUGACCUCAUCAUGUGUGAGAAAAUAUGCUCAGGAGAGAAUCCUAUACCUUUCCAGGAGAGCAGGCACUGGAGUACUGACAAGUCAUACAGCACUAGGCGAUGACACAGUUAUGAGAGAGGCAGUUGUGUGGGGAUGUGCACGAGGCCUUAGAGGACAGUUGUCUCUCCCCUGGUCCCAAGGCAUACAUGGAGAAAAGAGCCUGUGUGUGAUGCAGGGUGAGAAAGAUGAGCCAUAAUCAUGCCUGUGGAUAUCAAAGGUUCCAGUCAAUGGGGAAGUACUUGUGUGCACAGUGUGGCCAAAGCUUUCCUUAGAAGUCAACAGACGGACAGGAAAUCUGAUCACCAUCUGUCCCCUCACCAUAAAAGUUCCAGAGGAACUUCAGGAGCCCCUUGACAAGGGAUGUAUAAGUAGCAAUUACUGCAAUUUCUUUCUUAAGGGACUUCCUUAAGGGAAGGAUCAAGGUGCAGUGAGCUGAUGGCUGAGUGUCAGCACCUCUGGGUCAGCCUGUAGUGGGCUGCCCUUUCCAUCCAGUAACUGCUGCUUUGUAAAGCUACAGCUGGUCCUGUGACCUCGCUCACAGAUGUGUCAUGGAGGCUGGGGGUAACCGCAGGACUACCGAGACUUGAACUUGGAGACUUUCCCUGAACAGGAGGAAACAUAAGUCUUUGUCAUCCUGAAUAUUUACAGCAGAUUCUGAGAUGAGGUCCAGGUUUGAGAAACAGAUGCCUGGGGAGGGGAGGGAGUUACCCAGGCUCCUGGGGGAAAUGUAGUCUCUCUCCUGGAGACCAGGCUUUCUGCCUGGCUGGGCAUCCCGUGUGCUGUUCUGAUCCAGCGAGGACAGCCCGGGGAUAAUGGUAGGACUGUUGUUGACACAUCCCCUGUGAGGCUACACAGCACCCAGCACUCUUCCACCAAACGCUCCUGUUGCGUCCCCUCUCCCACCAGCCUCACCUCCUCCCCAUGUUCUCCCGCAUUCUCUCUCCAGAUAAAAGCCUUGUUUUAUUCAA